GAUGAAGAACGUAGCGAAAUGCGAUAAGUAAUGUGAAUUGCAGAAUUCAGUGAAUCAUCGAAUCUUUGAACGCACAUUGCGCCCAUUAGUAUUCUAGUGGGCAUGCCUGUUCGAGCGUCAUUAAGUCCACUUAAGCCUAGCUUAGUGUUGGGAGACUGCUCCAGUGGUGCUACCCUGUAGCUACCCUGCAGCUCCUUAAAGACAGCGGCGGAGUCGUGUUAUCCUCUAAGCUUAGUAAAUCAUUCUAGCUUUCGAGAGUAUCACUUCACCUGCCGUUAAACCACCUAAUUUUUAUGGUUGACCUCGGAUCAGGUAGGAAUACCCGCUGAACUUAAGCAUAUCAAUAAGCGGAGGA
rnacentral:misc_RNA from 1 species